rnacentral:tRNA from 1 species
GCCGGCGUGGUGGAACUGGUAGACGCAGCGGACUCAAAAUCCGCCGAGGGCAACCUCAUGUCGGUUCGAUUCCGACCGCCGGCACCA